UAUGAUCAUUAAGGUCUUAAAAGAAUAGUAUAAGAACAAAGAAUAUACAGUGUAAGUGUAAAAUAAAUAAAAUUGAAAAAAGGGAGUUAUAUAAUUUUUGAAAGUGGUGGCAAAUUGUGAUUGAUUGUCACUUUAUUCUCUUAAAAGAAUAUGUACCGUAAACAUGAAGUUUACAUUACACAAAUUGUUAAGGAGGAUACCCCCAAUGGGGCCGCUUUAGGGUUUUAUCCAUUAAGAAAUCAUCUUCAUUAGACAUCCCUAUUUUAUGGUUAGUUAGGUUGAUACAUAAUGAGAUUGAAGAAUUGUACAAGCAUUUUCUUUCUUCAGAUCGUGACAAUGAGGGAGGGUGAUCCCAUUGACAUAUUAACGCUAUUGAUAAACAUGAUGAUGAAGGACGGCCAGUUGCUGCCUGCAUGAGAUGGAGAUGCAGAGCUAGGAGUUACUCCGGGAGGAAUGGAGUAUCCGACUUCAUGAGGAGGAGUUUAGCAAUUAGUUGUUUAUGGAAUUAUCUUUUUUGUAUUCCUGUGUAUCAUCUUCAAAUUUUUGUCCCUUCGAGGACAUCCAAUAAAAUUGUAUUCCUGUGUAUAUAUUUUACAUCAAGUUGAACUCUAUUCUGCA